rnacentral:snoRNA from 1 species
AAUCUAUGGUACGAGUAUUUUUUAAUAAGCAUUGUGAAACAUUUCUAUGCCUCAUAAAAACCUUCUCCCUCUAUUUGUCUAAAUACAACAAUCUCUCUUCUUAGUUG